GUCACCAUGGACAGCUCACCUUAUUUCAAGUUGGUCGGCCCCAAUGGUGUGUGCCAUCAGAUCCCACUGGGCUCAUUUUGCACUAUAAACAUCCUUUUCACCCCUGAGGGGAGCAAGUUACUUUUCCUGCAGGAUCAUUUCCACCAGCUUGUCUGCAGCAGUGAAAGGGAAAAGGUCUCUGUGCCAAUCCGAGCCAUUGGUGCCCGCCCAGUCUUGGACUUCCCUGACCAGCUGGACUUCUCGUCGUGUCCAGUCAGCCACAGCACCCAGAAGACUCUGCUGGUUCACAACACCGGGAACCUGGAAGCCUGUUACAGCCUCAGCACUGAGAGCCCUUUCACUGUCAGCCCAGCCACGGGAACCCUCGAUGUUGGUGAAGCCAAGCAAGUGACAGUGGAAUAUCACCCGCUGCAGACCGGGCACCAUUCCACAUCCCUGGCA